GGGCUACCCACCACCAGCUGGCGGGCUUCCUGGGGCCACCGGUUCCCCGGACUGCACACCUGAUGCAGAACAGGGAAGGUUGUUUAGGAGCCAGACCACUUCUGGCACUGUUCUGGGAAGAUACACAGGCCCUCUGUGGGACACACGUCUCCGGGUGUCUCAUCAGCGGAUUCCCUGGUGCUGCCUGGGAGGGCAAGGAUCCACAUGAGGAGCGGGGAGCUUUGUGGAAAAGGGAAGAAGAGAUGCAACUGUGGAGCAGAUGACAUUGGAGAAUAGACAAGCCCAAGAGGACUCACACCAAGAGAAAUUUUGAUAGCCAAAGGGCAACGUGAAGGCAUUGAAGUAACACGGAGAUUAAGAGAUGGUACUAGUAGCAUGCAGACGAAACAAAAAAUAAAAUUUGCUUUAAAAUUGGG
rnacentral:lncRNA from 1 species